rnacentral:rRNA from 1 species
AGCGUACACGGUGGAUGCCCUGGCAGUCAGAGGCGAUGAAGGACGUGCUAAUCUGCGAUAAGCGUCGGUAAGGUGAUAUGAACCGUUAUAACCGGCGAUUUCCGAAUGGGGAAACCCAGUGUGUUUCGACACACUAUCAUUAACUGAAUCCAUAGGUUAAUGAGGCGAACCGGGGGAACUGAAACAUCUAAGUACCCCGAGGAAAAGAAAUCAACCGAGAUUCCCCCAGUAGCGGCGAGCGAACGGGGAGCAGCCCAGAGCCUGAAUCAGUGUGUGUGUUAGUGGAAGCGUCUGGAAAGGCGUGCGAUACAGGGUGACAGCCCCGUACACAAAAAUGCACAUGCUGUGAGCUCGAUGAGUAGGGCGGGACACGUGGUAUCCUGUCUGAAUAUGGGGGGACCAUCCUCCAAGGCUAAAUACUCCUGACUGACCGAUAGUGAACCAGUACCGUGAGGGAAAGGCGAAAAGAACCCCGGCGAGGGGAGUGAAAAAGAACCUGAAACCGUGUACGUACAAGCAGUGGGAGCACGCUUAGGCGUGUGACUGCGUACCUUUUGUAUAAUGGGUCAGCGACUUAUAUUCUGUAGCAAGGUUAACCGAAUAGGGGAGCCGAAGGGAAACCGAGUCUUAACUGGGCGUUAAGUUGCAGGGUAUAGACCCGAAACCCGGUGAUCUAGCCAUGGGCAGGUUGAAGGUUGGGUAACACUAACUGGAGGACCGAACCGACUAAUGUUGAAAAAUUAGCGGAUGACUUGUGGCUGGGGGUGAAAGGCCAAUCAAACCGGGAGAUAGCUGGUUCUCCCCGAAAGCUAUUUAGGUAGCGCCUCGUGAAUUCAUCUCCGGGGGUAGAGCACUGUUUCGGCAAGGGGGUCAUCCCGACUUACCAACCCGAUGCAAACUGCGAAUACCGGAGAAUGUUAUCACGGGAGACACACGGCGGGUGCUAACGUCCGUCGUGAAGAGGGAAACAACCCAGACCGCCAGCUAAGGUCCCAAAGUCAUGGUUAAGUGGGAAACGAUGUGGGAAGGCCCAGACAGCCAGGAUGUUGGCUUAGAAGCAGCCAUCAUUUAAAGAAAGCGUAAUAGCUCACUGGUCGAGUCGGCCUGCGCGGAAGAUGUAACGGGGCUAAACCAUGCACCGAAGCUGCGGCAGCGACGCUGAUGCGUUGUUGGGUAGGGGAGCGUUCUGUAAGCCUGCGAAGGUGUGCUGUGAGGCAUGCUGGAGGUAUCAGAAGUGCGAAUGCUGACAUAAGUAACGAUAAAGCGGGUGAAAAGCCCGCUCGCCGGAAGACCAAGGGUUCCUGUCCAACGUUAAUCGGGGCAGGGUGAGUCGACCCCUAAGGCGAGGCCGAAAGGCGUAGUCGAUGGGAAACAGGUUAAUAUUCCUGUGCUUGGUGUUACUGCGAAGGGGGGACGGAGAAGGCUAUGUUGGCCGGGCGACGGUUGUCCCGGUUUAAGCGUGUAGGCUGGUUUUCCAGGCAAAUCCGGAAAAUCAAGGCUGAGGCGUGAUGACGAGGCACUACGGUGCUGAAGCAACAAAUGCCCUGCUUCCAGGAAAAGCCUCUAAGCAUCAGGUAACAUCAAAUCGUACCCCAAACCGACACAGGUGGUCAGGUAGAGAAUACCAAGGCGCUUGAGAGAACUCGGGUGAAGGAACUAGGCAAAAUGGUGCCGUAACUUCGGGAGAAGGCACGCUGAUAUGUAGGUGAAGUCCCUCGCGGAUGGAGCUGAAAUCAGUCGAAGAUACCAGCUGGCUGCAACUGUUUAUUAAAAACACAGCACUGUGCAAACACGAAAGUGGACGUAUACGGUGUGACGCCUGCCCGGUGCCGGAAGGUUAAUUGAUGGGGUCAGCGCAAGCGAAGCUCUUGAUCGAAGCCCCGGUAAACGGCGGCCGUAACUAUAACGGUCCUAAGGUAGCGAAAUUCCUUGUCGGGUAAGUUCCGACCUGCACGAAUGGCGUAAUGAUGGCCAGGCUGUCUCCACCCGAGACUCAGUGAAAUUGAACUCGCUGUGAAGAUGCAGUGUACCCGCGGCAAGACGGAAAGACCCCGUGAACCUUUACUAUAGCUUGACACUGAACAUUGAGCCUUGAUGUGUAGGAUAGGUGGGAGGCUUUGAAGUGUGGACGCCAGUCUG